UAUUUUCUCUCUCCACAAUUCUUCAAACGCGCGAAUCGAACCACCAACGUUUCUUCUAUCGAGGUUUCCAUCCCUCUCCUUCCAGAAUGCUUCUUCCGUCGAGACUUCCAUCCCUCUACUUCUAAAGGUAGAUUCUUCUUCUCUCCUAAUGGUUUGUGAUAUGUUUAUGUGGGUGCGAUUGGCUUGAUGUUUGUAGGAUUUUGAUUCGCACUAGAAGAUAAAGACCUAUUUUUGAGGUGAAAUCCCUAGCUUGACUAUCGGCAGUGGCUAUUCUUCUAUCUCAAAAGAGUUAAGAUCCGUAGUUCAUCGUUGAUUGCCCCAAUUCCUAAUGGAUUCACAAAAUAAUGCAUACUUCACUUCUCUAUGAAGUGGAUGAUCAAGCACGGAUGAUCUCUUACUUACUGAAGAUUAUGGUGACCCUAAUGCCGAUAGUCCUAGCAUGACUCAUGUCACUAUUAACCCUUCCAACACUAGAAAGAGUCAAAGAGGAUCCAAUUUUGCAAUAGAGGAUGAUUUGAUGCUCAUUUCGGCGUACCUAAAUACAAGCUUAGAUGCGGUGCAAGGAAACCAACAAAAACUAGGAGCAUAUUGGGAUAAGAUCGAGAAAUAUUUCAAUGAAUAUAAGCAAGAACAUAACAUCUUUCGCACUAAAGGUUCACUACAACAUUGGUGGGAUAAAAUACAUAGAGAAGUGAAUAAAUUUUGCGGCAAUUAUGCAAAAAUUGAAGGAAGACAACAAAGUGGCGUUAUAGAGCAAGACAAGGUAAGGAUAGCUUAUAUGGUGCUAUCUUGUUUUGUUAACUAUGUUAAUUCUUAUGGAUUAUUAUUUUUGGUGUAUCAAUUGUUUGCAUUUUUGAAUUAUUAUGUGAGGUAUGAAUUCUCUAGCUCAUGAAUAGCUUAUGAAAGUAAGUGGACCUUCUGUGGUUGUACUCUAUAAACUAGAUAUUUCCCUCCAAUUGUUGUACUCUUUAAAUGAAAUAUUAAUGCUUUGUGGUUUAGGCUU